UACGUAGGGGGCAAGCGUUGUCCGGAUUUAUUGGGCGUAAAGAGCGUGUAGGCGGCCUGGUAGGUCAGCUGUGAAAACUCGAGGCUCAACCUCGAGACGCCGGUUGAAACCAUCAGGCUAGAGUCCGGAAGAGGAGAGUGGAAUUCCCGGUGUAGCGGUGAAAUGCGCAGAUAUCGGGAAGAACACCCAUGGCGAAAGCAGCUCUCUGGGACGGUACUGACGCUGAGACGCGAAAGCGUGGGGAGCGAACAGG
rnacentral:rRNA from 1 species